rnacentral:rRNA from 1 species
UACGAAGGGGGCAAGCGUUGUUCGGAAUUACUGGGCGUAAAGGGCGCGUAGGCGGCCCUCUAAGUCGAACGUGAAAUCCCCGGGCUCAACCCGGGAACUGCGUCCGAUACUGGAGGGCUCGAAUCCGGGAGAGGGAUGUGGAAUUCCAGGUGUAGCGGUGAAAUGCGUAGAUAUCUGGAGGAACACCGGUGGCGAAGGCGGCAUCCUGGACCGGUAUUGACGCUGAGGCGCGAAAGCCAGGGGAGCAAACGGG